GAGGAAUAAGCCACGGCUAAUUCCGUGCCAGCAGCCGCGGUAAUACGGGAGUGGCAAGCGUUAUCCGGAAUUAUUGGGCGUAAAGCGUCCGCAGGCGGCCGAUCAAGUCUGCUGUUAAAGAGUGGAGCUUAACUCCAUAAAGGCAGUGGAAACUGAUGGGCUUGAGUGUGGUAGGGGCAGAGGGAAUUCCCGGUGUAGCGGUGAAAUGCGUAGAUAUCGGGAAGAACACCAGUGGCGAAGGCGCUCUGCUGGGCCAUAACUGACGCUCAUGGACGAAAGCCAGGGGAGCGAAAGGGAUUAGAUACCCCUGUAGUCCUGGCCGUAAACGAUGAACACUAGGUGUCGGGGGAAUCGACCCCCUCGGUGUCGUAGCCAACGCGUUAAGUGUUCCGCCUGGGGAGUACGCACGCAAGUGUGAAACUCAAAGGAAUUGACGGGGGCCCGCACAAGCGGUGGAGUAUGUGGUUUAAUUCGAUGCAACGCGAAGAACCUUACCAGGGUUUGACAUCCUGCGAACCCCUGAGAGAUCGGGGGGUGCCUUCGGGAGCGCAGAGACAGGUGGUGCAUGGCUGUCGUCAGCUCGUGUCGUGAGAUGUUGGGUUAAGUCCCGCAACGAGCGCAACCCACGUCUUUAGUUGCCAGCAUUAAGUUGGGCACUCUAGAGAGACCGCCGGUGAUAAACCGGAGGAAGGUGUGGAUGACGUCAAGUCAUCAUGCCCCUUACAUCCUGGGCUACACACGUACUACAAUGCUACGGACAGAGGGCAGCAAACUCGCGAGAGCUAGCAAAUCCCAUAAACCGUGGCUCAGUUCAGAUCGUAGGCUGCAACUCGCCUACGUGAAGG
rnacentral:rRNA from 1 species